rnacentral:misc_RNA from 1 species
GGAUACUUGGGCGUUAACCAAAAGGGUACCUCAAGUUUGCCUCAAUUCAAAUGUUCAGCCAAUUCCCAGAGUGUCAAUCAGUAUCAAAACAAAGACCCCUUUCUAAAUUUACAUCCCGAAAUUUCUAUGCUCAGAGGCGAAGGUAACAAUACAAUGACUACCUCUAGACAAGAAAGCUCUAGUGGAAAUGUCAGUGAGAGUUUGAUGGAUUCAUCAAGCUCGAACAAUUUUAAUGAGGCCAAAAUCAAGGUGGUUGGUGUAGGAGGUGGUGGAUCAAAUGCAGUUAAUCGCAUGAUUGAGAGCUCUAUGAAGGGUGUAGAGUUUUGGAUUGUGAACACUGAUAUCCAAGCAAUGAGGAUGUCACCUGUAAAUCCUGAGUAUAGACUGCCAAUAGGUCAAGAACUCACAAGGGGACUUGGUGCAGGCGGUAAUCCAGAUAUAGGGAUGAAUGCUGCCAAUGAGAGCAAGCAGGCCAUUGAGGAAGCAGUUUACGGCUCAGACAUGGUUUUUGUGACUGCUGGAAUGGGUGGAGGAACAGGGACUGGUGCGGCUCCUAUAAUUGCAGGAACUGCCAAAUCAAUGGGUAUCUUAACUGUUGGUAUCGUUACAACCCCCUUUUCUUUUGAGGGACGAAGAAGA